CGGGGUGUAGCACAGCGGUAGUGCGCCUGCUUUGGGAGUAGGAAGUCAUAGGUUCAAAUCCUAUCACCCCGA
rnacentral:tRNA from 1 species